GGAUGCGAUCAUACCAGCACUAAAGCAUCGGAUCCCAUCAGAACUUCGAAGUUAAGCGUGCCUGGGCGAGAGUAGUACUAGGAUGGGUGACCUCCUCGGAAGUCCUCGUGUUGCAUUCC
rnacentral:rRNA from 1 species